AUGGACAGCAGGUUAAACGAGAAUCCUGCGAGAACCUUUGAUUUGGCUCUUCAGGUUGCAUGUCCAUCAUCUGAACAUGAAGGUCCCCAAACCACGUUUUGUCACGAAAACACAUGCGAGAAGUUGAACGGGAGUGACACGGUAAAACAGGAGUUUUUUGUUGAGAAUGGAUGUCAAGAAGAACUUAGUGCUGCAAGCUGUUUGCGUGAUAAUCUGUUCUGAAAUGUUUUGCUCCAUUUCUUGUGUCCAAAUUUUGAGUAGCUCAUGUAUAAGACUGCUGAGUGCCGAUGUUCUCCUGAUCGCAACCCGGUACGUUGCAAAUUCUUAGGUCUUAAAUACGGGCUUAAAAAUACCUAGUAAGUGUGAACUUGGCUUUACGACAGUCAAAACAAUGAAACUCUCUCCAAAUUGAUUUCAAUAUUCCUAUUAUUAUACUUGAUCUGUAGAUAAAGAUCAAUGGUUUUGCAUAAAAUGACUUUGCUGUAGAUUAGUGCGAUUUCUAAAUAAUGUUACUUUCUACCGGGUGUCUGUUAGAUCUCAACACUGGAUAGAGAGCACUAUGAAUU
rnacentral:lncRNA from 1 species